rnacentral:misc_RNA from 1 species
GAUGAAGAACGUAGCGAAAUGCGAUAAGUAGUGUGAAUUGCAGAAUUCAGUGAAUCAUCGAAUCUUUGAACGCACAUUGCGCCCCUUGGUAUCCCGAGGGGCAUGCCUGUUCGAGCGUCAUUUCACCACUCAAGCCUGGCUUGGUGUUGGGCGACGUCCCCUUUGGGGACGCGCCUCGAAACGCUCGGCGGCGUGGCACCGGCUUUAAGCGUAGCAGAAUCUUUCGCUUUGGAAGUCGGGGCCCCGUCUGCCGGAAGACCUACUCGCAAGGUUGACCUCGGAUCAGGCAGGGAUACCCGCUGAACUUAAGCAUAUCAAUAACGGAGA